rnacentral:rRNA from 1 species
UGGGGAAUAUUGCACAAUGGGGGAAACCCUGAUGCAGCGACGCCGCGUGAGCGAAGAAGGCUUUCGAGUCGUAAAGCCCUGUCCUAUGAGAAGAUAAUGACGGUAUCAUAGGAGGAAGCCCUGGCUAACUACGUGCCAGCAGCCGCGGUAAUACGUAUGGGGCGAGCGUUGUCCGGAAUUAUUGGGCGUAAAGGGUACGUAGGCGGUUUUUUAAGUCAGGUGUCAAAGCGUGGAGCUUAACUCCAUUAAGCACUUGAAACUGAAAGACUUGAGUGAAGGAGAGGAAAGUGGAAUUCCUAGUGUGGCGGUGAAAUGCGUAGAUAUUAGGAGGAAUACCGGUGGCGAAGGCGACUUUCUGGACUUUUACUGACGCUCAGGUACGAAAGCGUGGGGAGCAAACAGG